rnacentral:rRNA from 1 species
CAGCAGUGGGGAAUAUUGCACAAUGGGCGCAAGCCUGAUGCAGCGACGCCGCGUGGGGGAUGAAGGCCUUCGGGUUGUAAACUCCUUUCGCCCGGGACGAAGCCCACCUGGUGGGUGACGGUACCGUGGAGAAGAAGCACCGGCUAACUACGUGCCAGCAGCCGCGGUAAUACGUAGGGUGCAAGCGUUGUCCGGAUUUACUGGGCGUAAAGAGCUCGUAGGUGGUGUGUCGCGUCGUCUGUGAAAUUCCGGGGCUUAACUCCGGGCGUGCAGGCGAUACGGGCACGACUAGAGUGCUGUAGGGGUAACUGGAAUUCCUGGUGUAGCGGUGAAAUGCGCAGAUAUCAGGAGGAACACCGAUGGCGAAGGCAGGUUACUGGGCAGUUACUGACGCUGAGGAGCGAAAGCAUGGGGAGCGAACAGGAUUAGAUACCCUGGUAGUCCAUGCUGUAAACGGUGGGCGCUAGGUGUGGGCUGUGUGUUUGCAGUCUGUGCCGUAGCUAACGCAUUAAGCGCCCCGCCUGGGGAGUACGGCCGCAAGGCUAAAACUCAAAGGAAUUGACGGGGGCCCGCACAAGCGGCGGAGCAUGCGGAUUAAUUCGAUGCAACGCGAAGAACCUUACCAAGGCUUGACAUAUACUGGACCGCAUCAGAGAUGGUGUUUCCCUUCGGGGCUGGUAUACAGGUGGUGCAUGGUUGUCGUCAGCUCGUGUCGUGAGAUGUUGGGUUAAGUCCC